rnacentral:lncRNA from 1 species
AGUUCUCGGGACACCCUUCAGGAACUUAGACCUUUCUUUCAGUCUUUCUCCUGUCUGCCUCUCUCUGGGCCUCUCUAGCACACCUGUGCAGGGUAGUUCUUAGGUGUCAUAAAGAUGGGGCUCCCAGGAUGAGCUACCACUGUGGGCAAUUGCUUCUUUCCAUGGACUUGUCUCCUCUUGCCUGGAUUCAGCAGCCUAUCAGGCUGAGUCACAGACAGGGCUGCUGAAGGAACAAAUUGUACUGGCCUUUCCCCAGCAAGACUGCCUCACCCUGAAUUUCAGUAGGUCUUUUAACCCCUCCCAGAAUCUGUAGCCUUCCUGCCCAUUUUCCUGUUGACAAAUUCUGACUACCUGGCAUCCCGAUGCAGAAGGAACAUUCUAGGCCCUGAAGACCUGGGUUUUGUUUUGCCUUUUCACAAGCAAUCCUUAAUACCUCAAUUUUAGAAGUGUACUGUUUUCCUGCUGGAGGGAAGCCGAGUAUUAAAACUCAUUUUAGGUGGUAGGUAUUUUAAAUAAUUGCCUAAAUUGGUGAUGUAGCUCAGAUAGUAGAGUGCUUGCCUGGCAUUCAGGAGCCCCUGGUUCAGUUUCCAUCUUCUGGGAGAUGGAGGCAGAAAGAUCAGCAGUUCAGGAUCACCCAUGCGUGGAGUACAUCUCUUAACUACUCAAGUGUCCCUGCUGGAAGUACUUUGCCUCAAUGUUGACAAAGCACACUUGUGCUUGGAAACACAGUGAUUUACCUUCCAGCUUAGAGGAGAGUAUGACACACACUGCAUUUAUGCCCAGACCCAACACUGGAUGUAUGUUUGAAUUAUCUGUAAGCUUUUAAACACAAUUCUCAAGUCUGAGCCUUACACAUACAGACCAACUUGUUCGGGGUGGAGGAGGACCCCAACAGCCCAACUGUCAGGGAGACUACUGUGAUCAGUGCUGUGUAGGAGGAGCUGGGAGGAAGGAUGUCACAUUCAAUUCAGAGUCCAUUAGGAUCCAGACGCUCCCCUGCAAUGACUUCCUAAUCCAGACAGCGCAUGCAAGAAAACUUGCAGGACUUGUGAACGACAGCGGAAGCUGCAAAGUGUGGUGGAGAUCUCUGUCCUGCUGUUUAAGAAGUGGGCCUCCGAGGGUCUGAGCCUAGCCACCUAGAGGAGAGUGGUCUGGCCAUCAUAGAGUUCCUCAUGCCACAUCUCAUGAGCACUUACCUUCUCGUACAUAAAUAUCGGGCAGUGGAAUCGGAGCAUGUGUCCCCUGACUGGAAGCAGUGACAACCACGGCAGCAGGUUUAUUUUUAAAUAAAGAUUGGAAAGUUA